UCAUUCAGACACAAGCCGAAGGAGCCACACGCGCUCCUCUUUCCUCCUUUUCUCCCCGCCAUGGAGCACUUCUAUCCUCCUUCUCUUCCCUCUCUUCUCACUCCCUCCCUCGCUCCGGCCUCCACACCGAGCCGAGAGAUCUGUGAUCUGCCUUCUCUCUCCGAGGGGUCCUGACCCCCACCACACACACGGACCAAACGCCAAACCGGAGAGAAAAGGAGAAAUCCAUGUCUGUCUAUAGUCUGCCAAGCCAUGGAUGGAGCAGUGUGUGCUGGUCACAAGGCAUGCAGAUCACUGAUCAACUUUAAAGCCAGAAUAUCUCAGCUGCAGUCGUCGUCCACUGGAGUGACCGGUGUCUGAAGAAGAGAUUACCCUGAGAUCCCCUGAAAAUCUGAAGAUGAGCAAGACUUCUUGAAUAAAGAAUUACUGUGCAUCUAACCUAAACCCGGCUGAGAUGAUAGAAGGAGCCGAGAAGUGCUCAGCAGCUCUGGAAUUCUUUAAAGACUGUUUGAGAUCCAUUCCUGGUGACCACCCUAUCAAACAAAAGAGUCACUGUGGAUCUGGAGCCCAGCAGAAGUCCGACAGGGCACAAUGUUCAUCACAGGGUACCACACACACCCAUUCACUCAUACUGAGUAAAACAGAAGAAAUAUAUAAAAAAAUUGAGAUGAAUAUGCUUAUAUUACAAAAAAUCUACCCAUGGGGUUAUCUCAUUUUAUAUAUGCUCACAGCCAGCACAGAGUUACUAUAGCAGCUCAGAAAUUAUACUUGCUCUUACAGCCUACAACACAAAGACCAAGCAGUUAAUCAUAAUAUAUGAUCUACAAGUUCAUUUAUGAUAGCCUGGGGAGAAUGACUACACACUGGGAGACACACCCAGUAUAUGCAAAUAGAUUGUGCCAAAAGCCAAUAGAAAAAAAGUUUAUUUAUUAAAACUCAGUUAUUGUAAGUUGAUUUCUGUUUAAAUCUUUGA